CCUACGGGAGGCAGCAGUGAGGAAUAUUGGUCAAUGGACGAGAGACUGAACCAGCCAAGUAGCGUGAAGGAUGACUGCCCUAUGGGUUGUAAACUGCUUUUAUACGGGGAUAAAACGUUCCACGUGUGGGGUUUUGUAUGUACCGUAUGAAUAAGGAUCGGCUAAUUCCGUGCCAGCAGCCGCGGUAAUACGGAGGGUCCGGGCGUUAUCCGGAUUUAUUGGGUUUAAAGGGAGCGUAGGUGGAUUGUUAAGUGAGUUGUGAAAGUUUGCGGCUCAACCGUAGAAUUGCAGUUGAAACUGGCAGGCUUGAGUACAGUAGAGGUGGGCGGAAUUCGUGGUGUAGCGGUGAAAUGCUUAGAUAUCACGAAGAACUCCGAUUGCGAAGGCAGUUCACGGCAGUGCAACUGACACUGAGGCUCGAAGGUGCGGGUAUCAAACAGGAUUAGAUACCCGUGUAGUC
rnacentral:rRNA from 1 species